GACGAACGCUGGCGGCGUGCUUAACACAUGCAAGUCGAACGGAAAGGCCCUGCUUUUGUGGGGUGCUCGAGUGGCGAACGGGUGAGUAACACGUGAGUAACCUGCCCUUGACUUUGGGAUAACUUCAGGAAACUGGGGCUAAUACCGGAUAGGAGCUCCUGCUGCAUGGUGGGGGUUGGAAAGUUUCGGCGGUUGGGGACGGACUCGCGGCUUAUCAGCUUGUUGGUGGGGUAGUGGCUUACCAAGGCUUUGACGUGUAGCCGGCCUGAGAGGGUGACCGGCCACAUUGGGACUGAGAUACGGCCCAGACUCCUACGGGAGGCAGCAGUGGGGAAUAUUGCACAAUGGGCGGAAGCCUGAUGCAGCAACGCCGCGUGCGGGAUGACGGCCUUCGGGUUGUAAACCGCUUUCGCCUGUGACGAAGCGUGAGUGACGGUAAUGGGUAAAGAAGCACCGGCUAACUACGUGCCAGCAGCCGCGGUGAUACGUAGGGUGCGAGCGUUGUCCGGAUUUAUUGGGCGUAAAGGGCUCGUAGGUGGUUGAUCGCGUCGGAAGUGUAAUCUUGGGGCUUAACCCUGAGCGUGCUUUCGAUACGGGUUGACUUGAGGAAGGUAGGGGAGAAUGGAAUUCCUGGUGGAGCGGUGGAAUGCGCAGAUAUCAGGAGGAACACCAGUGGCGAAGGCGGUUCUCUGGGCCUUUCCUGACGCUGAGGAGCGAAAGCGUGGGGAGCGAACAGGCUUAGAUACCCUGGUAGUCCACGCUGUAAACGGUGGGUACUAGGUGUGGGGUCCAUUCCACGGGUUCCGUGCCGUAGCUAACGCUUUAAGUACCCCGCCUGGGGAGUACGGCCGCAAGGCUAAAACUCAAAGGAAUUGACGGGGCCCCGCACAAGCGGCGGAGCAUGCGGAUUAAUUCGAUGCAACGCGUAGAACCUUACCUGGGUUUGACAUGGAUCGGGAGCGCUCAGAGAUGGGUGUGCCUCUUUUGGGGUCGGUUCACAGGUGGUGCAUGGCUGUCGUCAGCUCGUGUCGUGAGAUGUUGGGUUAAGUCCCGCAACGAGCGCAACCCUUGUUCACUGUUGCCAGCACGUUAUGGUGGGGACUCAGUGGAGACCGCCGGGGUCAACUCGGAGGAAGGUGGGGAUGACGUCAAGUCAUCAUGCCCCUUAUGUCCAGGGCUUCACGCAUGCUACAAUGGCUGGUACAGAGAGUGGCGAGCCUGUGAGGGUGAGCGAAUCUCGGAAAGCCGGUCUCAGUUCGGAUUGGGGUCUGCAACUCGACCUCAUGAAGUCGGAGUCGCUAGUAAUCGCAGAUCAGCAACGCUGCGGUGAAUACGUUCCCGGG
rnacentral:rRNA from 1 species